GCACUGGGCCUGAAGGUGCAAAGGGAACCUCUGGAAAUCUGCUCUUUGCAUUCAUUUCUGUUGGGAAAGACAUGAGUCUGUGGUCCCAUCACCAUGUCCUCGGUGGCUUGUGUGUUGCACUACUCUCCGUGGGAAAGAAGGCCAAGUGUGACAUUUCAAUAGUGUUAUGAAGGGAGAGAAGGAAAAGAACCAAAACCCAAUGGUUUCCCUUUCUUUUCAACCCCCACCUCCAUGCAAAUAGAAACACCUUUCAUUUGCCGUUAGAAAGGGCUUGGCAGAACCACAGGAACUCAUGACAAGUCAAGUGUUUAAUUCCAGUGGGUCAGGGUCGGGGUUAGUGGUGACAGGUUCCACUUGGUCACAGGUAGGAGCAACAGAGAUUCCCCGUUAGUAAGCUCUGGUGAGUCUGAGCAGUGGUGGAGUAGACUUCUCGGCACAGUACAGAAGGAUGCUGUGCUAGGGCUCCGGGGGCAGGAGCCUGGACUAACCUAGCUGAGCAUCUGUCUCUGUCCCAGGCCCCUGAGCUGGGGGCAGUUAAUCUGAGAUUGGGUCGUGGCUACAGCGUUUCUAGAGAUCAUGAGCUCCUCCUAGUUGGUCCUGAUCCCAGGAUGUCCCAAUCUCGUCAUUCCUAUGACAGAGAUAGAGCUUCCAGAAUGGCCACAGUGGCCUGCCUGUUUUAAAGGAGAGUUCACCUUCCUUGGGUGAUCUUGUACAAGAAGUCUGCCAAGGGCAAGGCCAAUUGUCCCCAUGAACGUACCUUCAAAGGGGCUUAGAAACACACAAGAUGUAUGCUGUCCUGUUGCUUGGGUCCCAUCAGCCUGUCUGGAAAUGAUUUCUAAGUUUGAAGUGCCCAGAUGCAUCAGACCUUAUUUUUCUAGUGUUUUAAAUUUUCAGUCACCCCAGGAAGUGGCUGUCAGGACUUAAUAACUGCUGAGGUGUUGGAGUUCUCUGUGAGCAUUGUGGGAAAGCUGACCCAGCAUGUCAUGAGGAAGGCAGUGAAUGCUUUGGAGCGAGGGGUCAUGUCCUGUCUUCUCCACUCUCCGAAUGACCUCAGGCCACUCACCACCCAUUUCUGACCUUCAAAUCGAAAGACAAAAGCCCCAAGCCCAAUGCACAACAAGAGGAAGAACAAUAAAGAUCCUCUGUGAUUAUGUGAGAAGGGGUGAGAUGAAGGAUUUAAAUAAGAACUCUAUCAGCUGUGCUUCGGGUCCAAACUGUCUCCAGGUUCCUGCUCCUAGAACCCUUGCACAGCAUCCUUGCAUAUUCUGCCCAGAAGCCAAAUUCUCCACCGCUUCUCAGACUC
rnacentral:lncRNA from 1 species